rnacentral:rRNA from 1 species
GACGAACGCUGGCGGCGUGCUUAACACAUGCAAGUCGAACGGAAAGGCCUGCUUUCCCUUGUGGAUUGCGGGUACUCGAGUGGCGAACGGGUGAGUAACACGUGAGUGAUCUGCCCCCAACUUGGGUAUAAGCCUGGGAAACUGGGUCUAAUUCCCGAUAGGACUGCAGGGUGGUGCCUGUGGUGGAAAACGAUUUUCUAGUGGUUGGGGAUGAGCUCGCGGCCUAUCAGCUUGUUGGUGGGGUAAUGGCCUACCAAGGCGGCGACGGGUAGCCGGCCUGAGAGGGUGGACGGCCACAUUGGGACUGGGAUACGGCCCAGACUCCUACGGGAGGCAGCCGUGGGGAAUAUUGCGCAAUGGGCGGAAGCCUGAUGCAGCGACGCCGCGUGGGGGAUGACGGCCUUCGGGUUGUAAACUCCUUUCGACCGCGAGGAAGCCACCUGGUUGGAAGGGUGGUGACGGUAGUGGGAGAAGAAGCACCGGCUAACUACGUG